ensembl:lncRNA
CUGAAACAAAGUGGCUGUGAGCGUGAGGAUCUGCGGCAAACUGUGCAGGACUGCCUCAUCUACAAAAAUCCGGGUAGCAGCCGGUUUUUCACCUAAACCUAUCAACUUACCCUAUCAACUAAACCUAUCACCAAAGUUGCCAUCGUUGUAUUCCAUGACCUUGCAAUCAUUGCAAAAUAAAAGAGGAAGAAAAAGAAAGCAACUGUCUGACUCAUGAGUGGAGCCCAGCUCAUAACCUGGUUGUCAGCCUUGGAUGAUGAGGUCCAGUUACCAGGAUCACUACUCUGCAGCUCACUGAUCCCAUCCUGCAGCUCAUCCAUGCCGUCCUCCUCUCAACAGACCAAAUCAAGAAAAACUAAGCAGGAUGCUACUGUGGAUCUGCUCUUCAGAUUAGCUCUGCUAUGAUUAACAAUCUGCCUUCAUCGCAGUCACAGCCAACGGCGACUACGUUUGAGAAGACAGAUGGUCUUAAGGCUAAAUGCGAGGCAGAGGUCAGCUGUUGCCUGGAUAUCUGGGAUCACGCCACUGGUGGGACACAAUUGUACUGGAUUUCAGCUGAAGGCUGCUGUUCUGUCCAAACUGUCAUGAGACAUUGACAUUUUUAUUGUGAAAUACCCACCACUGUUGUUAGUUUUUGUUUCAAUAAAUUGUUUGAGAUGAGG